AGAAGAUGCAACUGGCGAAGAAAAUAAGGCUUCGCAGGAAGCGACUUGUUCGCAAGCGAAAACUGAGAAAGAAAGGCAGAUGGCCUCCAUCAAAUAUGAAGAAGUUAAAGAAUGUCUGAGGUUUACCUCAUGCUUUCUUGCAGGGCUGUUCUCCAGUUUUAUAGCUGGAUCUUUCUUCCAAGACAUCCAAUGCAAGCGUUCUUUUUUGCUUUGGGCGAAGGCUGAAGAUCUAUUUCGGAUCUGGUGUGUGGAUCUUUCCUUUAGCUGGUGGAGAAAUAAAGUUUUGAGUUUGUAUCGAUAUAUAAAGAGGAGUGGCCGAUAUUUCACUAGUGGAUCAGCAAAUUCAUGCCGUCUUUGAUGACGAGCAAGUACUUUGGCCCUCCAACGGGGCGGUAGGGGAAAAUUGAGCGGAAUUGCCAUUUCCCCUUUGAGGUCCAUCUUUGUUGAGUGUUGCUGCGACACUAGUGUUUAAUGUGAAGCAGAUCCUAUUGCUAAUUUGUUGUCAGCUCUAAUGAGUUUUGUCCGUUGUACCGGGUUUCAAUAUUUAUAUGGCAAAACCCUCCCUAUGCGGGGCUGAUUGUAUUAUUCCUAACAUGUAGUUUGCUCCCGUAUUACGAAUGAAGAAAAUUCUCCUUUCCACCCGAAAAA